GUGCUGGCUUCAGCAGCACAUAUACUAAAACUGGAACCAUACAGAGAAGAUUAUCAUGGCCCCCGCACAAGUAUGACAUGCAAAUUCAUGAAGCCAUCCAUAUUUUU
ensembl:snRNA U6 U6 spliceosomal RNA